rnacentral:rRNA from 1 species
GGAAUAUUGGGCAAUGGGCGCAAGCCUGACCCAGCAACGCCGCGUGAAGGAAGAAGGCUUUCGGGUUGUAAACUUCCUUUCUGAGGGACGAAGAAAGUGACGGUACCUCAGGAAUAAGCCACGGCUAACUACGUGCCAGCAGCCGCGGUAAUACGUAGGUGGCAAGCGUUAUCCGGAUUUAUUGGGUGUAAAGGGCGUGUAGGCGGGAAAGCAAGUCAGAUGUGAAAUCUCAGGGCUCAACCCGGAGCCUGCAUUUGAAACUGUUUUUCUUGAGUGCUGGAGAGGCAAUCGGAAUUCCGUGUGUAGCGGUGAAAUGCGUAGAUAUAAGGAGGAACACCAGUGGCGAAGGCGGAUUGCUGGACAGUAACUGACGCUGAGGCGCGAAAGCGUGGGGAGCAAAC